rnacentral:lncRNA from 1 species
CCUCUCUAACGUAUGUGUGGAAGGCCUAGUUCAGUUCCAUGAAGGCUCCCCGGUUGGCAGUUCAGUCUCUAGAAUUCCUUUUAAUUUUUGUUCCAAAGGCAGUGUACAUGAUGGCAGGAGAAGCACAGCAGCAGGAACCAGAAACUAAGAGGUCACAUUUCUAUUGUGUGCAGGAAGCAGAGAAGGUGAGAGGGAAGUGGCACAAGGCAACAAACUCUCUAAGGAUGUCUCCCUACUGUGGUACUCCCGCAAAGCUCCAUGUAGUAAAAUUCCAUAACCUUACC